rnacentral:rRNA from 1 species
UUUNNNNGNNAANNCUUGGGGNACCANGNCCACCUCUUUNUAUCAUGCAAGAAACAACGAUGAAGCCCUUCGGGGUGGAUUAGUGGCUUAACGGGUGAGUAACACGUGGGCAAUCUGCCCUUCACUCUGGGACAAGCCCUGGAAACGGGGUCUAAUACCGGAUACCACUCCUGCCUGCAUGGGCGGGGGUUGAAAGCUCCGGCGGUGAAGGAUGAGCCCGCGGCCUAUCAGCUUGUUGGUGGGGUAAUGGCCCACCAAGGCGACGACGGGUAGCCGGCCUGAGAGGGCGACCGGCCACACUGGGACUGAGACACGGCCCAGACUCCUACGGGAGGCAGCAGUGGGGAAUAUUGCACAAUGGGCGAAAGCCUGAUGCAGCGACGCCGCGUGAGGGAUGACGGCCUUCGGGUUGUAAACCUCUUUCAGCAGGGAAGAAGCGAAAGUGACGGUACCUGCAGAAGAAGCGCCGGCUAACUACGUGCCAGCAGCCGCGGUAAUACGUAGGGCGCAAGCGUUGUCCGGAAUUAUUGGGCGUAAAGAGCUCGUAGGCGGCUUGUCACGUCGGAUGUGAAAGCCCGAGGCUUAACCUCGGGUCUGCAUUCGAUACGGGCUAGCUAGAGUGUGGUAGGGGAGAUCGGAAUUCCUGGUGUAGCGGUGAAAUGCGCAGAUAUCAGGAGGAACACCGGUGGCGAAGGCGGAUCUCUGGGCCAUUACUGACGCUGAGGAGCGAAAGCGUGGGGAGCGAACAGGAUUAGAUACCCUGGUAGUCCACGCCGUAAACNNUUGGGAACUAGGUGUUGGCGACAUUNCACGUCGUCGGUGCCGCAGNUAACGCAUUAAGUUCCCCGCCUGGGGGNNNCCGGCCNCANGGCUNAAACUCAAAGGAAUUGACGGGGGNCCCCCCAAACNGGNGGAACAUGUGGNUUUAUUUGACGCCNNCCGAAAAACNUUACNAGGGUUNGANUUNNCCNGNAAGCNUUAAAAANNNGCCCCCCUUGGGGC